rnacentral:rRNA from 1 species
UUGCCCUAGUAACGGCGAGUGAAGCGGCAACAGCUCAAAUUUGAAAUCUGGCCCUAGGGUCCGAAUUGUAAUUUGCAGAGGAUGCUUUUGGCGAGGUGCCUUCCGAGUUCCCUGGAACGGGACGCCUUAGAGGGUGAGAGCCCCGUACGGUUGGACACCAAGCCUCUGUAAAGCUCCUUCGACGAGUCGAGUAGUUUGGGAAUGCUGCUCUAAAUGGGAGGUAAAUUUCUUCUAAAGCUAAAUACCGGCCAGAGACCGAUAGCGCACAAGUAGAGUGAUCGAAAGAUGAAAAGCACUUUGAAAAGAGGGUUAAAUAGCACGUGAAAUUGUUGAAAGGGAAGCGUUUACGGCCAGACCUUUUCCUGGCGGAUCAUCCGGUGUUCUCGCCGGUGCACUUCGCCAGGUUCAGGCCAGCAUCGGCUUCCGCAGGGGGAUAAAAGCAGUGGGAAAGUAGCUCUCUAGGGAGUGUUAUAGCCCUAAGCAUAAUACCUUUGCGGGGGCCGAGGACCGCGCUUUUGCAAGGAUGCUGGCGUAAUGGUCGUCAACGACCCGUCUUGAAACACGGACCAAGGAGUCGAACAUUUGUGCGAGUGUUUGGGUGUUAAACCCUCACGCGUAAUGAAAGUGAACGGAGGUGAGAGCCCUUUACGGGGUGCAUCAUCGACCGAUCCUGAUGUCUUCGGAUGGAUUUGAGUAGGAGCAUUAAUGUUCGGACCCGAAAGAUGGUGAACUAUGCGUGGAUAGGGUGAAGCCAGAGGAAACUCUGGUGGAGGCUCGCAGCGGUUCUGACGUGCAAAUCGAUCGUCAAAUCUGCGCAUGGGGGCGAAAGACUUAUCGA